GUGAAGGCCGCGGGAAGAGCGGAGGGAGAGGAGGGGCUCCAGGCAGGGGGCGGGAGAGGAGAGAGAGGGGUAAAGGUCUGGGGCAGGGGCGGCCGCGGAGGCGGAGGGGGGCGGCAGGAGGGGAAGGAGAUGCCCCAGCCCGCCCUUCCCUUCCUCGCGUGUCUGGGGGCCGGGGUCGUGCCCCUCCGCCCAGGGUCGCCCCGGACCGGGUUCACAUCGCACACCCAAAGGGGACACGGGCUGGGCUUGGAGUUCUGCCCUGGGGCUGACCCCGGCCUGACCCCAGUUCCCCGGGGUCUCACCCUGCCUCGGGGGACCUGCGCAGAGCCACCCGGAAGGAGCUGUGCGUCUGCUCGGAAGCCCUGGACCGGGCUCGGAUCCCCCAGCUCCCCACGACCUUGUCAGGAGAAGGGGGGGGGGCGUGGCCGGCCGGGUGCUGGGUGGCCACAAAGCCUGCUGUGGUGCACCAGGCCAGCUGUGUGUGUGGGGGGGAGGCUCCUGGGGGAAGCGGUGCCCGGGGCAGGACGGGGGUCAGAACCAGACUGCACUGUUGGAAACACUGCAGCUGCCUGUUCUCACGACCCAGGUCACCCGUGGGCAGGGGCUCCCUGCACCCCUCCGUAUUUAUGUCCCGGGAGGGCAGCCCAGAGAGCCAAGGUGGCAGGGCCCCCGUGUCCCUCAGGCUGGCUUGAGUACCCAGCCUUGCAACCCCUGUUUCCAGGGAGAGGAACUAAACCUUUUAUUCUUGUGAUUUCCCAGGUUCAGGGAGGGGAGCCUCUGGAGUAGAGCUGGAAUGUGAACGUGGUGCAGCAUCCAGAACAUCCUAAGUGUUGACCCGCACGGAAGCUUCAUCUUGGUUGAGCCUUUAAAGCGCCCGCAUGGAGUGGGUAAAGGUGGGUGGCUUGUUGAAAUCAAACAACGGGCUUCUGCCAAUAGGAAAAUAAAUGUAAACCCAAGGCAGCUCUAAGCCCAGGACACCUAAGCCCCACGAAGGGGACGGUGACCCUGACCUGGAGGAGGGUGCCUGGCACUGACCCUGCAGGAGGACUUUCCUCCCCCGGGUGUGGCUCUGUACGUCACCUGUGGGAGAUCUGUAUGCACCCAGUGGGCACCCUGGUGGCCAGGGCACAGGCUGGGGCAGCUCUGCGGAGGGUCCAGGCUCUGGCGGCCUGGAACGCGGGACCCGCGGGUGCCACGCUCUCCUGGGAGGUCCUGGGGCAGGCGGUGGGCACAGCGCGGGAUGGGUCCCUGAGUGCGUGGACAGAGCAGGCAGGCUUCACCAGGAAGGGGGCAGGCUGGCUCAGGAAGGAGCAGGUGGCUUGAGGGGGACAGGAAAUCAGAGGAAGGAGAAACUCUGCCUGGCAGAGGGUUGGUGGCCGGCAGCGGCCCCAAGACCCAGACAGGUUCCUCUUCUUGGAGGGGCCCCAGUGAGGCCGGGGGGCUCCAGUGUGGUGCGCUUUGCCUGUGUCUUUGAGACCAGUGCCCUGGUCCCCAGGACAGCAUCAAAGGCCCUCGGGUAAGAGAUGCUCUCAGGAGGCUGCAGGAAAUACCACGGCCAAAGCGAGGUGGCGCAGGAGGGCGGCUCUGCAGGAUGUGCAAACAGCGCCGCUGGUGGAGAAGACCAGGGUAGAUGGCUGGGACCCGUGCUCUGACCCCGGUGAGAAUGUGUGCGGCCUGCAGGCUCCAAUCCCAGGGGCCAGCCAGGCCUGGGCUCCGAACCCGAGUGCGGCUGCCACAGGCAGGAUUCCCGCCCAGGAUCCGGGACCCGCAGCUCAGUCACCCACACCUGCGCGGCCACGGAACCUGCAGCCCAGAACAUUGUUCCUUCUCCACGAAAGCUUUCUGCUUUGGUGCAGGGUCACCGACACGGUGGAUGUACAGAGGACAGAAUGAGACGUCUGUGCUGCUUGGAAAACGUGAGGGCUGAUUCCAAAGCUGAGGUAGUACUUACCAUCGUGGGAUGGCCCACAAACACUGACAGCAGUAGCAGGGUCUCAGUGUGACAUGCGGGACGUCACCGUUCAGGUCAUGAUCUCACAGUUCAUGAGAUCAAGCCCCACGUUGGGCUUUGUGCUGACAGCUUGGAGCCUGCUUGGGAUUCUCUCUCUCCUUCUCUCUCUGCCCCUCCCCCCUUGUGCUCCCUCUCUCUCACUCAAAAUAAAUAUUUUUUAAAAACAUUUAUUUUGAUAGUUAAGUCAUAUUUUGAGACUUUCUAGUAGGUCUUCAAAAAUUCUAAAGACACUGGGGUGCCUGGGUGGCUCAGUCAGUUAAGCGUUCGACUUUGGCUCAGGUCAUGAUCUCACGGUCUGUGGGUUUGAGCCCCACGUCAGGCUGUGCGCCGACAGCUCGGAGCCUGGAGGCUGCUUGGGAUUCUGUCUCCUCCUCUCUCUGCCCCUCCCCUGCUCAUGCUCUGUCUCUCUCUGUUUCUCAAUAAUAAAUAAACAUUAAAAAAUUAAAAGAUAAAAUUCUAAAGAUACUAAAACUAUCUGAGAUUCUCAAGAGGAUCUGUUCAUCCUUCAUGAUCUCAAAACCCUUUCUCUCUCUUUGAAUCUUGUAAAAACCAAGUGAAUAAGAACAUUGAUGUGGAUUUUUUUCAAAUUAUGAUUUUGUGCAAGGAGUUUUAAAGGCUAAUAUACUCUUCAUAAGCAAUGCACCAAGGAAUCCGUAUUUCUUAUUAAAGUUUAAACAAAUAAAUUAGGGGGCACCUGGGUGGUUCGGUAGGUUAAGCGUCUGAGUCUCGGUUUUGGCUCAGGUCAUGAUCUCAGUUUGUGAGUUCGAGCCCCACAUCAGGCUCUGUGCUGGAAGCAUAGAAUCUGUUUGAGAUUUCUCUCCCACCUCUCUCUGUCCCUCUCUGGAUUUCUCUUUCUAAAAAAAAAAAAAUAAAUAAACAUUAAAAAACAAUAAAUUAGGACAGCGCCUGUCAGUGGGCCCCGAGGGUGCCAGGCACAGCAGCACUGUGGUUUCCGGAUGUUGUGAUUUCUAGUGUCUUGCUGAUGGGUCUGCAAAGAAAAUGCUGUAAGGAGACACGAUAGGUCGCCUCCAGUAAUGUGCUGUGGGGCCUUAAGUGUAAAUUUCUCUGGACGUUGAGCAGCAAGUACUUACUCCAGAUUGGCUGGUUUUAGCCAUGACACCUGUCCACUAACUAUGGGGUUGGUGUCUUCAGUGUCUGAGAAAUUCUUCAUCUGGUUAAUAGUUGACAGGUUCUCGGAUUAGGACAAGUGAAUGCAUCUCGGUGAUAAGUUAGACAUUUGCUAUUUCAAUGUUCCUGAAUUAUUCCAAUGAGUCCUGAAAUCAUAAAAAUGUACAAAAUGUACAAAGGUGAGUA